GGGGCCAUAGCUCAGCUGGGAGANNGAGGUCAGGAGUUCGAUCCUCCUUGGCUCCACCA
rnacentral:tRNA from 1 species